rnacentral:pre_miRNA from 1 species
GGCCUCUCUCUGUGGAGCGAUCGAUCGCGGGGCCUCCAGAUUGAUAGCCCUGCAGAGGGAGGCC